UACAGAGGUCUCAAGCGUUGUUCGGAUUCAUUGGGCGUAAAGCGCGCGCAGGCGGCUCGGAAAGUCGGGUGUGAAAACUCGGGGCUCAACCCCGGGCGUGCAUCCGAUACUGCCGGGCUUGAGGCAGGUGAGGGGAGAGUCGGAAUUCCUGGUGUAGCGGUGAAAUGCGCAGAUAUCAGGAGGAACACCGGUGGCGAAGGCGGAUCUCUGGGCCUGUCCUGACGCUGAGGCGCGAAAGCUAGGGGGAGCAAACGGG
rnacentral:rRNA from 1 species